rnacentral:rRNA from 1 species
UACGUAGGGGGCAAGCGUUGUCCGGAUUUAUUGGGCGUAAAGAGCGUGUAGGCGGCUAUACAGGUCCGCUGUGAAAACUCGAGGCUCAACCUCGAGACGUCGGUGGAAACCAUCUGGCUAGAGUACGGAAGAGGCGAGUGGAAUUCCUGGUGUAGCGGUGGAAUGCGCAGAUAUCAGGAGGAACACCAAUAGCGAAGGCAGCUCGCUGGGACGUUACUGACACUGAGGCGCGAAAGCGUGGGGAGCGAACAGG